AGGAGAGUCACGGGCGAACGCCCGGUAAAAACCUAGCGCUUCCCCACCCACGCCCCCACGCGACCCUCCCUCCUCUUCCUCGAUCUCCCUCCAAGCCGCCGCCGCCGCCGCCUCUCCCCAUCUUCAUCCUCUCUCUCCUGUGUCGCCGCUGUCUCUCCUCUUCCUCCCCACUCUAGCCCCUCCAGGUCGUUGCUCGCAGUGGUUCCAGAUUCACCGCUGGUCGUCCCCAUGGGUGAGGAGGGGAAGCGGGGUCUUCAAGGUUGGUGGAGGUGCAGGGGAGACCGGCGGCGUGGGGACGAGCAGCGAGCCAGGAGCCAGGGAGAGGCCAACGUCGGGGACAAGAAGCAGCGGGGCCAGCCGUCCGUCGCGGUGGUUUGGAGGGAGAGGGAGGAGGUCGGCCACGAGAGAAGGAGCAGUCCAGCCCUGCUUCGUCAUGGAGGAUGUCCAGCUGCUCGUCCUCCUCCGCCUCUUCUCCAAGCGUCCACUUUAUCGCAAUUCAGCUUCACAAUUGAGUGUGUAUGAACAAUGCAACGGAGGUCAUGUUAACUCCUACAGCCUGAUACGUUCUUUCGUCUCCUGGUGAUUACUUCGAAUGGUUGUGUGAGGAACAAAUGUUGCAAUUCCAGCUUCAUCGACGAACUCACUCGCUGCUCUAGAAGGUGCUUGGGCUUGUUUCUCUGACGAUUUACUUUGACAUCUCACAUGGAUCUUCAAUGCCUCAUAUACCUAUUUUUUAUUCUCUCGUCAAUUCCACGCGCCUGCUCGUCCAUUGCACGGUACUAGAUGGUCCCUGUUAAGUUAAUUCGAGGUACAUCCCAUCAGGACUAUUAUUUGAUUUGUUGGAUUAAUUUAUUUCAGAUAGCUUACUCCAGGUUGAAUCUCUCUGUCAUUUGCAAAACCACAAUAUGGCAAUAUAUUGAACAUCUAGGCCUAUUAUGUAAGUGCAUGUCUAUUGUUAUGAGCUUCAGUUUUCGACUCUAUGCAAUUCUCGGUGUCCUACUUUGUAUUGUUUAGUACUCCAAUAAUUUAGGGGAUGCCAAAUUAAACCAAUUUGUUUAUACAAAGGCUCAUUGAAGCUUCUGUUAUAGGUUUUCUACUAAUUUGAUCUUUUCCUUCAUUGCAUUGCAAGGCUACCAAUGCUAAUCCUUUCUUGGUACAGUUCAAGUUUGCUAUCAAAUUCUGAAAAAAGAAAAACAAGCUCUAAAUCAGGGGAUUCGCUGAGAGGGAGUGAUUCCGUAGACCAGAUUGAUAGUGUUUGUUUGUCUACUUUUUGAUGUUUUGCAGAUACUAAUCGGUGUGGAUUUGCAACCUCACGAGUCACGAUUUCCCUCGCAGCCACGGCUUUAGUUGGCUUGGGUGUUCAGGUACCUGGUUUACUCUCUAAUUAUUAUUUUUGCUUCAGUUUGAUACUUUCUUUUGGUAUCACUUGGAUUUGAUUAAGGUGAGGGGCUGCACAUGUUGCUAUGAAUAUUGCUUGGUGCCGUUUAGAUUCAUGGUUUGAGGUGUAGAAUUUCAUUUUUGUGUCGAAAGAUGGAUGUGGUUCCAGAUAUAAUUGUAGGGUUAACUGAAUAAUUCUCUAUCUAUUUCUAACCGUAGGAUGCAAUCAAUAUUGUGUUAUAUGCCUUUUGUGCCAGAUAAGAAGAGUGGUCACACAUAUAACCAAUUCUUCUAUUUUCCUGCUCAUAUACAAUAUUUAUUACAUUCAUGUAUGCUAUACACUUGAUUGCAUCACACAGAUAAUUUUUUGGUUUCUUUUCUACUCCCUCUGUUCACUUUUAUAAGGCCUUGAAGAUAUUUCAGAUAGUGUGCAAAGUAGUCCAUUUUCAAUUGUCUGAAAUGACUUACAAAAGUGAACGGACAGAGUAGCAUAAUUUGCUUGAGUCUCCUAGCGCAAUUCCAAGAACUUCAUGUUUCCCGGUGUUUAGAUCUGAUUACUAUUACCAGUGAUGUCUCUAAAGUUGGCCAUACUUUAAAUUAGUAUUAUCACUCAUGUUUCUAAAUCCGACCAUACUUUAAAUUACUAUUACCAGACAAUACUUCUGUUCACCAAAUCUUCUCAGGUUACUUCUGGUUUUUGUCCAUUCUCUGACCAUAUUUUUUUCUUGCAAUUUCUCAACACCCCUUGGUUUAGAAGGGUUCAUGCUUUUUGCGGCAAGCUCUUAACUUUUAUUUCACUUCAUGCAAGUGCAGAAACGGCUUGUUUCAAACAGUAGACCAUUGUUAAUAUAUACUAUAUUAUUUUGUCAAAAACUUGAUAGUCUUAUGGUUAAUUAUUCACUUAGUCAGAUACAUAAAUGAUGAAGCGUGAUGAAGGGCAGGGAAGAGAUAGAGGGGGGCAUUUUUGGAGUGUUCUGAUUUUCUAAAUAUUCUUUAUUUAGCAAGAGAUGUGCAGUUAUGACAGUUUUGGAAGCACCGUGCGGGUCCUUACAUUUGCUGUUACUGCCACUGCCCAAAACCAAAUUAUUGUUUUGCAGUGUAACCACAGAGACCCAGGCUAUAUGCAAGUAUGCAACCAUGUUCAAUCUGUUUGUGUUAUUACAGUUUAAAAAUUUCCAGCCAAUGUCAUACUAGGGUUCGUAUGAAUAUGAUGUGCACCAUUUAGCUGUUGGCUAUAAAUACUUAUCAUUUGAUCAGCUUGGUUUUCUCUGUAUAAAAAAUUUCUCUUGCUUCAGAAUUAUACCACAUCACAUUACAGCAAGCACUUUCAUGAUAAUAUUACCCAUAAAUUGCAUUUCCUUCCGCUCUCGGUAGAUGCUAUGCAGUCUGUAUAUUUUUUUCAUUCUGAGUUCAUUUUGGGUGUGCUUUUUUUGGGUCCUCCUUUUUAAGGGGAAUAAGAAAAGCCUCCUCAAACAGGCACAAUAAUAUGAGUCUAGCAGAACUGUUUGGUGGAGCUUGAGCUUCUCCAGGAGAGUUUGGUGCUCAUAAUUCUUUGGCAGCAGUUCCAUGUGGCUUACCUGAACAUGAGUAAGAACCUUCUGCUGGGCAUGUCACUGGUCUUGUUGUCUUGCGUUGUUGAUGGCGUGCUCUUAGAGUUGUUUUGGCGUUUCUCCGACUUAUUCAUUAAUAAGUUAGUGCUCUAAAAAUAUAUCUAUGUUCAGUAACCUCUUUACACAUAUUCAGUAACAACCCAAAUAAAGUUAGUGGACUGCCCGUAAUUUAUAUAAACCCCCAAAAUGUACUGAAAAUAAGAAAACUUGCACAGCCUAUGUUACUCCGCCAUAUGUUGGAGGACAGAAUGUAGCAAACUAAGCAGUAUUGUCUAAGCUGUGAUACUUCCUUUUGCUGUACACUUCUAUAUUCAUGUUUGAGUUUUGGCCCGUCUUUGAUAUUGCGUACACUUCUACAUUCAUGUUUGAGUUUCAUCCCUUAUUUUGUAUUGUUGUACAUAGUACACGUACAUCCAAAUUAAGUUAUUUCUUAUUUUCUGAACAUUGUAGGGUUUUGUCAAUGUUGUUGUUGCCACCCACCAUGAAUAGCUGCUUAGACAAUGAGGUCAUUUUCGAUACCGAUGGCAUAUGCGGCAGUGACUCUACCCUAAUGUAAAUGACAUAUCAUAGUUACCGUAAGCUGAGUGACCAAAGCUAUCUAUAUGGUGCAUCUCUGCCUAUGUAGCUUUGUUUUUAAUGAACUGAUCUCAUGCCUUUCUUUUGGCCUAUAAACCUACCAUGCAAUGUAAUAUAUAAUUCCAUGUAUGAACAUCAUAUCAAAAUAUAUAUUCCCUUA